AUGAUCACCGAAGCUGAAAACUACCGUGUUGCAGAUGAACAAUUUCUGAAAAAGGCCAAAGAAUUGUGUGGGAUUUUGGAUCGAACUCUAGUUGGUCGAAAUUACUGUGUUUACAAGAUGAAGAAUGCUUUAGAGAAGAAGGAUAUGAAACUAAAGCUGUCUUCACAAGAAAUUGAGAAGAUCAAUUCUGCAAUUAGUAAGGCCACACAUUUGCUUGAUAUUAACCAGCAGAGUGAAAUAAGUGUUCUUGAAAAUCAUCGGAAUGAGUUUGAGAGUCUGUUGCGGUUGGUUAUAGGCAAAUCUGUCUAG